rnacentral:rRNA from 1 species
GAUCAUGGCUCAGAGUGAACGCUGGCGGCGUGCCUAAUACAUGCAAGUCGAACGGACAAGUAAGAGCUUGCUCUUAUGAGUUAGUGGCGCACGGGUGAGUAAUGUAUAGCUAAUCUGCCCUACACUAGAGGACAACAGUUGGAAACGACUGCUAAUACUCUAUACUCCUCUCUAACAUAAGUUAGAUAGGGAAAGUUUUUCGGUGUAGGAUGAGGCUAUAUUGUAUCAG